rnacentral:lncRNA from 1 species
GAGAGAGAGAGAGAGAGAGAGAGAGAGAGAGAGAGGGAGAGAGAGGCAGAGAGGGAGAGUUCCACUCAAGGCUGUGUUUCUAGUAAACUCAGUAGAAGCCUCAUGGACAGAUAUGUUCUAAGGUGACUGAUAGGCACCGGUCACCUUGAUAAUGGCCUAAAACCACACCAGCAGCAUCCUGAUCGAGUUUUGAGGACAACUGCCACCUUGAAUCAGAGGAGAAGCUUUCGGCAUUUGCAGCUGGCCUGGCAUCUGAGAAUCUGCAGGUUACUCUUACCAUGUACUGGGGCAUGAGAAGAAGAAACAGUAAAUUUGAAUGGUAUGCAAACACCUUUAAAAUAAAAACAAAAGAAAAAGAGAAAAAUAUCUGUGAGAAACAAAUGAUCGAGCUGUACUCAGAAGCCUUCAAAAAACCAAGUGCUAGGUAAUCCAAACCUUGCCUUAUGCAUGCUGGGCAAGUGCAUUAACACUGUGCUACACCCCCAACCCUGCUACGAAUUCUUUAGACUUCACUCUCCUACUGAAGUGGGUUCAAAGCCAUGGCUGCUGCCUGGGGAAGACCUGACUCUGGGAACUUUUGUCUCGGUGGCUGGCAGCCACAGUUCACGAGCCAAGUCUGGAAUGGUUGCUUGAGUUCAUACUGCUACAGGGCCAAGGACGGUUGUUGCAUUUUGAAAAGAGCGAAAACACCAAGCCAACACUUCUCCACAAGGAGAAUGAAAUCGAGGGUCCGUGUCGGGGAGCUGGAAGGCAGCCGUAGCGCAGGUCACUGUCCAGUUGCACACAGCUGCUGCCCACUGCAGCAGCAGAGUGGAGCAGGUGUGGGACCUUGUGUCUCAGCAGUGAGAACGGUGACUAAGACAGUCCUCACCCAGUGACCAUGCCCUUGCCCAGGCCGUUCCCCAUUCUACAUCUCCAUCUGUCAGGCUCUUCACAUGUCUGGUGCUACAGUGGAAUACCACCUUUCGGAGAGCAAAGACCAUGCCUCUGACAUCGCACCUGCCCUACAGUGCUUAACCUAGGAGCUGUGCCCAGUGAGUGUGCAGAUCUGGGUGAUGUAUUCAGGUGCAGCUGUGUUCCCUCUCCUAUAACCACAGACCUGCUCUCACUGGGUUCUUGGACACUGCAGAAAGGUAGAGCACCCCAGGGAAAGAAAGAAGCCCUAAGUGCCUUCAUUCCUUAGGUGGAUUCAUUCAUCCAGCGCAUAUUAAACUUCUGCAGUGUUCCAGGUACUAUAUCAGGG